GUCUCCCACCCCACCCCCCCCCCCCCCCGCCCCGUCCCCCGGGAUCGCUGCCCCUGACUGUCUGUCGAGGUGUCAUUCUACACGGAAUGUGUCACUGGAUUUCAUGCUAGGAAAUUACACUUCCAUUAUUUGUUGGAAAUCAAGUCUAACUCAGCUCUUAUUCCUCCUUAAGAGCCUCUAUAUUUCAUUUUAAAGAAUACACUUUACGGGUUCAGGAAUUCUGACCAAAAGCCCACUUAAGAAAUCCCCGAAACCAACUUUAAACGAAUGGGAUUUAUCUAUUCAAGUGUUCAAUUAUUCCCCACGCCUUACCUGUAAGAAUUCGUCUUUUAAAUACCCGGCAAUUUCAACUAUAAAGGUAUAUAGAUUCUCUGUCACUCACUGUCUAUCCCACUUCUUUUCUUUUCUAUCUCUCCCUCUCCCUCCCCUCUCUCCCCUUCCCAUAUCUUACUCUCCUGUUUUCAAGCUUCAUUUUCUCUCUUUCGUUAUUGGGACCCUUCGCCUUUUUUCUCACAUUCUUUCUCUCUUUCCCUUUUCUUUUGUUAUCCUACCCCAUUUUAUUCUAACAUUAUCCCUGUUGAUUCAAAUUACACUUGUCAUAUCAUGUAUGUGUAUGUUUGUUAUUUUAACUUAAUGGGUUAGCUUUUUAAUUGAAUUUUGUAGUUCCUUUUUCAUUCAUAUCACACUUUUUAGUAGACCCAUAUCGCAUAAUUAUGUUUAUGUUUGCAAUUUCAUUUUGUUGUAUUAGCUUUCUCUCUUCACUCUGUUUUAUAUAGAAAUUAUGUUAUCUUUAAGUUGUUUUUCCUAUGUAUUUUUUUAUAUUUAAUUUGGUGUCUUUAUGAUCUGUUUAUGCUUGUAAUACGGACUUGCUGAAAAGUAGUCUUUUUAGGCUGAUGUGAAUUUUACCGUGAUUAAAUAAAUUCCAUUAAAUUCAAUUCUAAAAUAUGAA